rnacentral:rRNA from 1 species
UGACCUACGGGGCGCAGCAGUGGGGAAUAUUGGACAAUGGGGGGAACCCUGAUCCAGCGACGCCGCGUGAGUGAAGAAGUAUUUCGGUAUGUAAAGCUCUAUCAGCAGGGAAGAAAAUGACGGUACCUGACUAAGAAGCCCCGGCUAACUACGUGCCAGCAGCCGCGGUAAUACGUAGGGGGCAAGCGUUAUCCGGAUUUACUGGGUGUAAAGGGAGCGUAGACGGUUCUGCAAGUCUGAAGUGAAAGCCCGUGGCUUAACCGCGGAACGGCUUUGGAAACUGUGGAACUGGAGUGCUGGAGAGG